CGGUUAAGUUAGAAAGGGCGCACGGUGGAUGCCUUGGCACUAGGAGCCGAUGAAGGACGGGACGAACACCGAUAUGCUUCGGGGAGCUGUAAGCAAGCUUUGAUCCGGAGAUUUCCGAAUGGGGAAACCCACCACUCGUAAUGGAGUGGUAUCCAUAUCUGAAUACAUAGGAUAUGAGAAGGCAGACCCGGGGAACUGAAACAUCUAAGUACCCGGAGGAAGAGAAAGCAAAUGCGAUUCCCUGAGUAGCGGCGAGCGAAACGGGAUCAGCCCAAACCAAGAGGCUUGCCUCUUGGGGUUGUAGGACACUCUGUACGGAGUUACAAAGGAACGAGGUAGAUGAAGAGGUCUGGAAAGGCCCGCCAUAGGAGGUAACAGCCCUGUAGUCAAAACUUCGUUCUCUCCUGAGUGGAUCCUGAGUACGGCGGAACACGUGAAAUUCCGUCGGAAUCCGGGAGGACCAUCUCCCAAGGCUAAAUACUCCCUAGUGACCGAUAGUGAACCAGUACCGUGAGGGAAAGGUGAAAAGCACCCCGGAAGGGGAGUGAAAGAGAUCCUGAAACCGUGUGCCUACAAGUAGUCAGAGCCCGUUAACGGGUGAUGGCGUGCCUUUUGUAGAAUGAACCGGCGAGUUACGAUCCCGUGCAAGGUUAAGCAGAAGAUGCGGAGCCGCAGCGAAAGCGAGUCUGAAUAGGGCGAAUUGAGUACGUGGUCGUAGACCCGAAACCAGGUGAUCUACCCAUGUCCAGGGUGAAGUUCAGGUAACACUGAAUGGAGGCCCGAACCCACGCACGUUGAAAAGUGCGGGGAUGAGGUGUGGGUAGGGGUGAAAUGCCAAUCGAACCUGGAGAUAGCUGGUUCUCUCCGAAAUAGCUUUAGGGCUAGCCUCAAGGUAAGAGUCUCGGAGGUAGAGCACUGAUUGGACUAGGGGCCCCUACCGGGUUACCGAAUUCAGUCAAACUCCGAAUGCCGAUGACUUAUCCUUGGGAGUCAGACUGCGAGUGAUAAGAUCCGUAGUCGAAAGGGAAACAGCCCAGACCGCCAGCUAAGGUCCCAAAGUAUACGUUAAGUGGAAAAGGAUGUGGAGUUGCUUAGACAACCAGGAUGUUGGCUUAGAAGCAGCCACCAUUUAAAGAGUGCGUAAUAGCUCACUGGUCGAGUGACUCUGCGCCGAAAAUGUACCGGGGCUAAACGUAUCACCGAAGCUGCGGACUGUUCUUCGAACAGUGGUAGGAGAGCGUUCUAAGGGCUGUGAAGCAAGACCGGAAGGACUUGUGGAGCGCUUAGAAGUGAGAAUGCCGGUAUGAGUAGCGAAAGAGGGGUGAGAAUCCCCUCCACCGAAUGCCUAAGGUUUCCUGAGGAAGGCUCGUCCGCUCAGGGUUAGUCGGGACCUAAGCCGAGGCCGAAAGGCGUAGGCGAUGGAUAACAGGUUGAUAUUCCUGUACCACCUCCUCACCAUUUGAGCAAUGGGGGGACGCAGGAGGAUAGGGUAAGCGCGGUAUUGGAUAUCCGCGUCCAAGCAGUUAGGCUGGGAAAUAGGCAAAUCCGUUUCCCGUGAAGGCUGAGCUGUGAUGGCGAGCGAAUUAUAGUAGCGAAGUUCCUGAUUCCACACUGCCAAGAAAAGCCUCUAGCGAGGUGAGAGGUGCCCGUACCGCAAACCGACACAGGUAGGCGAGGAGAGAAUCCUAAGGUGAUCGAGAGAACUCUCGUUAAGGAACUCGGCAAAAUGACCCCGUAACUUCGGGAGAAGGGGUGCUCUGUUAGGGUGCAAGCCCGAGAGAGCCGCAGUGAAUAGGCCCAGGCGACUGUUUAGCAAAAACACAGGUCUCUGCGAAGCCGUAAGGCGAAGUAUAGGGGCUGACGCCUGCCCGGUGCUGGAAGGUUAAGAGGAGCGCUUAGCGUAAGCGAAGGUGCGAAUUGAAGCCCCAGUAAACGGCGGCCGUAACUAUAACGGUCCUAAGGUAGCGAAAUUCCUUGUCGGGUAAGUUCCGACCCGCACGAAAGGCGCAACGAUCUGGGCACUGUCUCAACGAGAGACUCGGUGAAAUUAUAGUACCUGUGAAGAUGCAGGUUACCCGCGACAGGACGGAAAGACCCCGUGGAGCUUUACUGCAGCCUGAUAUUGAAUGUUGGUACAGCUUGUACAGGAUAGGUAGGAGCCUUGGAAACCGGAGCGCCAGCUUCGGUGGAGGCAUCGGUGGGAUACUACCCUGGCUGUAUUGACCUUCUAACCCGCCGCCCUUAUCGGGCGGGGAGACAGUGUCAGGUGGGCAGUUUGACUGGGGCGGUCGCCUCCUAAAAGGUAACGGAGGCGCCCAAAGGUUCCCUCAGAAUGGUUGGAAAUCAUUCGCAGAGUGUAAAGGCACAAGGGAGCUUGACUGCGAGACCUACAAGUCGAGCAGGGACGAAAGUCGGGCUUAGUGAUCCGGUGGUUCCGCAUGGAAGGGCCAUCGCUCAACGGAUAAAAGCUACCCCGGGGAUAACAGGCUUAUCUCCCCCAAGAGUCCACAUCGACGGGGAGGUUUGGCACCUCGAUGUCGGCUCAUCGCAUCCUGGGGCUGUAGUCGGUCCCAAGGGUUGGGCUGUUCGCCCAUUAAAGCGGUACGCGAGCUGGGUUCAGAACGUCGUGAGACAGUUCGGUCCCUAUCCGUCGCGGGCGCAGGAAAUUUGAGAGGAGCUGUCCUUAGUACGAGAGGACCGGGAUGGACGCACCGCUGGUGUACCAGUUGUUCUGCCAAGGGCAUCGCUGGGUAGCUAUGUGCGGACGGGAUAAGUGCUGAAAGCAUCUAAGCAUGAAGCCCCCCUCAAGAUGAGAUUUCCCAUUCCGCAAGGAAGUAAGAUCCCUGAAAGAUGAUCAGGUUGAUAGGUCUGAGGUGGAAGUGUGGCGACACAUGGAGCUGACAGAUACUAAUCGAUCGAGGACUUAACCUAAUUU
rnacentral:rRNA from 1 species